UAAACUCAUCGUCCCUUUGUCUUUGUUCAUAUUGGCUUACAGUCUGUCAAAACUCGAGAUACAUAUCGACACAGACCCGGCAACAGAAAACGAGCAUAUAGAGACACAUACCGAUGAGUUGCUACAACCAGAAUCAACCUCCGGUUGGCGUCCCUCCUCCGCAAGGGUAUCCGAAGGUGGAUGGGUAUCCUCCGCAAGGGUACCCCAAGACGGAUGGAUAUCCUCCGCAUGGGUACCCAACAACCCCUAUGGGUUACCCUCCGCAAGGGUACCCACCGCAAGGGUACCCACCGCAGCCACAGGCAAUGGGACAUCCCCCGCAAUACCAACAGGCUCCUCCCAAACGAAACGAGGUCGGAUUUCUCGAGGGAUGCUUAAUGGCACUAUGUUGUUGCUGCCUACUGGAUGCUGUGUUCUGAGGCCAGCCGGAGAUCGAUUCAGAAAAUACUAAGAAUGCGCUUAAAUGAUCACCAUCAUAUCACCCUUCCUUCUUUUGCAUCAUAGUUUGUAUUAUUGGGCCAUUCGGUCGUUGAUCUCUUCUUCGUUUCUAUAGUGUGUACAGCUUUUGCUGAUCUCUCAUUGUAAUGCAAUUUAGUGAGUUUUGUCCCAACAUGUGUCUACUUGUUACUGCUUCUUGAUAUUAUUACUGCAAUCUUUUCGUCACUUUUAUUUACUGUUCUGAUGAAUGUACAUCGACUAGAUUUAAAAAAAAAAAUAUCAAGGUACAAACUCGAUUGAUACUCUUCUGUACUCGUAUAACCGAACAUCAUGUAGGACCAAACAAAGGAGCCACAAACAGGACUUGAAUUUUGGGGGGCCGGAAUUAUUUAGAGCAUAAAGUGGCAGGUCGAACAUGUGAAAUUAACAAUGAAAUAUUCUAUUAAAAAUUAAAAUAGAGGGAGCGUGCCAAAAGUUCUGUUUUAGAAAAAUCGAAAAAUCAAGGGUUCGAUGGCCCAACCAAUCCUAAUCUAUCUGUUUUGAUAUCUAUAUUUGGAUGAUUUAGCUAAGCAUCUUAUGACUUUUCCUCAUAUGCUAUGAAAGCCUCUUUCAUUACCCGCUGGUCAACUUCUUGAGGAAUUGAAAGCUCUCUCUUGCAACUUGCCCAGGUUUCUAUAUUCAAAAAUGAUGGAUCCUUCUCCAUGUUCAUGAUCACCUUUCUUCGUCUUGUUCAAUCUCUUUUACAACAAUAACUGAUACUGAUGUAUUGCUCCAAUCCGUGUCCUCCUUAUCUUCUGAUCGAGAAGAGUUAAAAACAUUAUGCUUUGUUAGAGGAGAACAGGGGAAACCGAUAAAUACAGUGAGAGUAAUGCGAGGUCGAACUGGGAUCAUGCCGAGCAAAUGACGAAGAAAGUGAAGGGGGUUGAGAAGGGAAGCAAGAAGACUGAUGAUGGGGCUCAACCCCCACCCCCUGCAAUCAGUGUCACCCCUCUCUUAGUCCUAGUCCUGGCCUGCAAGGAUACCCGAAAAAAUAUUAUGAAGAAUCCACCAAAAGGGAAGGCUGCCCAGCUCAAACAAUCUGAGAAGGGGAACCGCAGACAAGGACAUUCUGAACAGAACGUUAAUCCUAAGAGGAACAGAGACUGCAUAUAUUAUGCUGAAACAUGGUGUGAUAUAUAUCGAUUCCAAGUUAAAGUACGUACUGAACUUGACAGUCCAGCGAAUCGGGCUUGAGCUUGGCCUAUUCAGCUCGUAGUACGUUAAAUUCAUAUUCAAAUGGUUAGUGAGCCCGCCGGAUGGUCCAAUGAACUGAAUGCUUCAAUGAUCAGCUAGUAUGUUGUUAACUCUAUGAAAAUAGAGUUAUUUGUACCUUUUUACGGGUAUUAUUGGAGCUAAUUUAUCGAGUUUAGGUUA